rnacentral:misc_RNA from 1 species
CCCUCCUCCGCCGUUUCGCCUCUCUCCACUUUCCCCGUCCUUCGCCGUCGCGGCCGCGUCCUAGUCUAGUCUGAUGGCCAGCCGCUGGGUCCGACCCGAGGUGUACCCGCUGUUCGCGGCGAUGGGAGUUGCCGUUGGCAUCUGCGGGUUUCAGCUCUUCCGGAACAUCACCGGCAACCCGGAAGUCAGGGUAAACAAGGCAGGGAGGGCAGCCGGCGUGCUUGAGAACCAUGAGGAGGGGAGGCGUUACGCCAUGCAUGGCCUCAGAAGCUUUGUGCACGACAAGACCCCCGAGAUCAUGCCAGCUAUCAACAAGUUCUUUACUGACCCCAAGUGAAGCAAAGCAGCUUUGGUUGGCCGCUGAUGACGAUGGUUCUGCUACUAGUUGCCCUUGGGGAUUGUGUACCCUUUUUAUGGCAAUUCGAUAUGUGAAUGAGUUCGACGGUCCCUGUUUGUUCCUCGUACUCACCUGUCAUGUGGAUUUGAUGCACUUAAGUGAUAAAACUGUCAGCCAACGUUCAUUACAAGUGGAUUUUUGCAAACUGGU